rnacentral:rRNA from 1 species
GAUGAACGCUAGCGGCAGGCCUAAUACAUGCAAGUCGAGGGGCAGCGGGAGUAGCAAUACUUGCCGGCGACCGGCGCACGGGUGCGUAACACGUAUACAAUCUACCUUUAACAGGGGGAUAGCCCGGGGAAAUCCGGAUUAAUACCCCAUAACAAAUUGAAUGGCAUCAUUUGAUUUUGAAAGCUUCGGUGGUUAGAGAUGAGUAUGCGCCUGAUUAGUUAGUUGGUGAGGAACGGCUCACCAAGACUACGAUCAGUAGGGGAUCUGAGAGGAUUAACCCCCACA